rnacentral:rRNA from 1 species
GACGAACGCUGGCGGCGUGCUUAACACAUGCAAGUCGAACGAAGUGGCGAACGGGUGAGUAACGCGUAAUUAACCUGCCCUUCAGAGGGGGACAACAGUUGGAAACGACUGCUAAUACCGCAUACGGAAGGAGGGGUUUGCGUCUGAUUAGCUAGUUGGAGGGGUAACGGCCCACCAAGGCGAUGAUCAGUAGGCGGUCUUGGGGGGUUGACGGCCAAAAUGGGACUUGGAAACCGCCCAGAAUCCUUCGGGAAGGAGCAAGUGGGAAUCUUCCGCAAAGGAGGGAAGGCCGACGGAGCAACGGCGCGUGAGUGAUAGAGGGCUUCGGGUUUUAAAGCUCUGUUAAUCGGGACGCGGUACCGGAAUAGAAAGCCACGGCUAACUACGUGCCAGCAGCCGCGGUAAUAC